rnacentral:lncRNA from 1 species
ACCUAUUUUCCCAAUCAAUAUCUUUCUUUUAUAUGCUUUUUAUAUAAUUUCAAACGAAAAUGCAUAUAAUCUCUAUUUAUAUCCUUGGAAAAUAUUAUUUAUUUUAAACUAAGUGUUCUUGUGGUCAUUUUCACCUAAUAUUCUGGAGGAACCCACCUGUGUAGCAGACCGCAAAUUUUGAAAUUCCAGAGAACCGCGUGACGUGAGUUGACGAUCGAUAUGGGGAAGAAGCUGUAUUUUAGCAAAAAGACGCCAUUGUUUAAUGAUUAUAUUGUAUACUUGUGAUACCUAUCAACAAAACCACUAAGUUUACUUCAUUCUCCUAACUUUGAGGUUGGAGGUUCGUACCUUCGAAAUUAAUAAAGAUUGAAUUGAAUUGAACUGAACUACAAGUGUAAAUGGAUAGGAUGACAUGUCAUUGAAUGUAAUAAUCUGUAUGGGCAUUAAAUUGCAAGCAUGACUAGAAAUAUUCCCCUGGAAGUAGAGGAGAUUGCAUUUUGUGCUGGUUUGAUUACGAAUCUGAAGACUAUAGUAACAGCACCAGCGCCUUGCAUCCCAAAACAAAAGCUUCUUUGUAGGUGUGCAUGGCAUGGUGGAAACAGACUUGGACGGACGAACGCUGGCUUGUUUCGAAAAAAGGAUUGCUGAUGUGAUUAUUCUUAUCAAUGCAGUUCAACAGAAGCACGCUCAACUCCAUACGCUUCAAGGAUUUGAAUUAGAUUAGAUGUUAUCAAUGAUUGUAGCUGAGCUAUCACACGCCCUCGUAGGUCUAAUGAUUAGCGGUUGAAACGAGUUGGAGAGAAUACUGUCCACGUAACACUGAAUAUCACUACACACUGCGUAAUGAAGGAGACCUAUAUUAAAGUCACCUGU